GUUGAAACACCAGUUCCAGUACGAUCACCGAAGUUAAGUAACAUCGAGCCUGGUCAGUACUUAGAUGGGUGACUGCUUAGGAAUACCAAGCGCUGUAAG